ACGAACGCUGGCGGCAUGCCUAACACAUGCAAGUCGAACGAGAAAGUACUUUCGGGUACGAGUAAAGUGGCAAACGGGUGAGUAACGCGUAGACAAGCUACCCUUCAGUCAGGAAUAACCUUUCGAAAGAAGGGCUAAUACCCGAUAAUAAGGGCUUUCAUAAGAAGGCUUUUUGAAAGAUUUAUCGCUGAGGGAGGCGUCUGCGUCCCAUUAGCUAGUUGGUAAGGUAACGGCUUACCAAGGCAACGAUGGGUAGCGGGUUUGAGAGGACGGCCCGCCACACUGGCACUGAGACACGGGCCAGACUCCUACGGGAGGCAGCAGUGGGGAAUCUUGCUCAAUGGGCGAAAGCCUGACGCAGCAAUGCCGCGUGAGUGAAGAAGGCCUUCGGGUCGUAAAGCUCUUUAUCUCAGGGAAGAUGAUGACGGUACCUGAGGAAUAAGCACCGGCUAACUACGU
rnacentral:rRNA from 1 species